UACGUAGGGUGCAAGCGUUAAUCGGAAUUACUGGGCGUAAAGCGUGCGCAGGCGGUUGGGCAAGACAGAGGGGAAAUCCCCGGGCUUAACCUGGGAAUGGCCUUUGUGACUGCACGGCUAGAGUGUGUCAGAGGGGGGUAGAAUUCCACGUGUAGCAGUGAAAUGCGUAGAGAUGUGGAGGAAUACCGAUGGCGAAGGCAGCCCCCUGGGAUAACACUGACGCUCAGGCACGAAAGCGUGGGGAGCAAACAGG
rnacentral:rRNA from 1 species